rnacentral:rRNA from 1 species
CGGGAUGGACGUACCUCUGGUGUACCAGUUGUUCUGCCAAGGGCAUGGCUGGGUAGCUAUGUGCGGAAUGGAUAAGCGCUGAAAGCAUCUAAGCGCGAAGCCAACUUCAAGAUAAGAUUUCCCACCGCAAGGGUAAGACCCCAGAAAGACUAUCUGGUUGAUAGGUCGAAGGUGUAAGUGCAGCAAUGUAUUUAGCUUAUCGAUACUAAUAGGUCGAGGACUUGACCAA